AAAAAGUGCUACACCCACACAGUAGGUUUUAUAUAUUUUAAAUAGUUGUAAUCUAGUUUAUUUUAUUUGUUUUAUACUAAAAAGUAUAAAUAUACUUCCUCUUUACUUAAAAUAUAUCACUUUUUACAUAACAAUAUAUUUUAAGUAAAACAAUAGCAAUUUAUUUGGGUAGCUUUUUGUAUGAGUUUGUUGUGUACAAGAAAUGUUAUAAAAGUGAGUUGAAAUACACAAUUUAUUUGAGCAGCUGUCGAUGUGGCAUGUGUGUUCAUCAAACUUAAAUAUUUGAAAUAAAAAACACAUAAAAAUUAAGUUGGAUUUAUCCCUUUUUCACUGGCGGGGACUUUCCAAGGCAGAUGCUUCCUCGGCACUUCAACUGUUUGAAAGCUGCAGCUGAUCUAAAUUUCACAGACUGAUUAACACGUCUCCGGUGGGGCAUGCAGCUGUCGUGGGGUCCUCGUGUUAUCAGCAGCAGAGUUGUAACCAAGCGUUUUUGUUACCUGGGGUCUUCAGAUACAGGAUCCGUCUGGCUAUGUGGAGAAAAGGAGAGAAGUGGUACUGAGAUGCCUGAUUGAGUACAUAUGGGAGGGAAAGGAAGACCUCAUCAGUGUCCACCAUAGUCAUGAUGAAACAGAGGUGCACGCUGAGCUUGGCAGUUCCCCACUGAAAAUAUACAUGCGCCAUCAGCCAAACACGAUUGGGAUUAUCACAGUAGAAGGACAGCCCAUGGUCAGAGGUGUGCCAAACCUGUAGAAAACCUCCUGUGUGGACUUGUCUAUGCCCACAACCUCUAAUAUCACUCAAAUCUGGUGUAUACUUCUGAGAUAUAUCACAGGCUCUUUGUGGGAUUGGACCCUAUGCAUACUUUUGUAUGUUUUGUAGGCACUGUUAAAAGUGACACUAGUUGACAUUGAA